UUCUGCUCUGACACCAGAGGUGGAUGUGUGUGGGUUUUUGAAGAUUCAUCUUAGUGGAAAAGUUUCACAAACACCGAAAAUGACUUGCCAUCAUGGCAAGUCUAUGACAGAGGCAUAAUUACUCAGUUUUCCAGAGCAAUGAGCUGCAGCAUUCCUGGAGUGGAAUAAACUUCCUAAAGACUACAGAUUAAAGAGAGCACACCUGGAAAGACCCCUCAGUUGGGUGUAAGAAGAACAAGAAAGAGGGACAAGAAGAAAAGUCAGAAGCCUUAAAGAGCUGAAUUGAGGGACCAAAGAAGCAAUAACUGAGGGGGUUAAGUCUUUGCGGUGCGACAUGAGGACCUGAGUUCAAAUUCCCAGCACACACUUCAAAGAGCUGGUUGUGAUAACAUCCCUCUGCAACCCUUGUGCUGGGAGACAGAGACAAGAGACCCACAGGCUUGCUGGUCAGCCCUGGUCUAACUGAAACAGGGAACUCUAGGCUAUGCGUUAUCAAACUUGUGUGAAUAAUUAGCAAGAAGUGAUAUCAUAAUUCCAGUUCACAGUUUUUUGAAGAAUUGUGAGACAGAGGUAUGCAAUUGUUUACUAAUUAUACUUUUUACUUUAGGAAUUACAAGUCCAUAUCAUUCCCCUUUCUUUAUUGGUGGAUAUUUUUUAUGCCACGGUACAUAUAAUGAUUCUAAAUAAAUAAGCAAUUUUUUUUUGGUUUUACG